CGUAAACGAUGAAUGCUAAGUGUGGAGGGUUUCCGCCUUCAGUGCUGCAGCUAACGCAUUAAGCAUUCCGCUGGGGAGUACGGCCGCAAGGCUGAAACUCAAAGGAAUUGACGGGGGCCCGCACAGCGGUGGAGCAUGUGGUUUAAUUCGAGCUACGCGAAGAACCUUACCAGGUCUUGACAUACUAUGCAAAUCUAAGAGAUUAGACGUUCCCUUCGGGGACAUGGAUACAGGUGGUGCAUGGUUGUCGUCAGCUCGUGUCGUGAGAUGUUGGGUUAAGUCCCGCAACGAGCGCAACCCUUAUUAUCAGUUGCCAGCAUUAAGUUGGGCACUCUGGUGAGACUGCCGGUGACAAACCGGAGGAAGGUGGGGAUGACGUCAAAUCAUCAUGCCCCUUAUGACCUGGGCUACACACGUGCUACAAUGGAUGGUACAACGAGUUGCGAACUCGCGAGAGUAAGCUAAUCUCUUAAAGCCGUUCUCAGUUCGGAUUGUAGGCUGCAACUCGCCUACAUGAAGUCGGAAUCGCUAGUAAUCGCGGAUCAGCAUGCCGCGGUGAAUACGUUCCCGGGCCUUGUACACACCGCCCGUCACACCAUGAGAGUUUGUAACACCCAAAGUCGGUGGGGUAACCUUUAGGAACCAGCCGCCUAAGGUGGGACAGAUGAUUAGGGUGAAGUCGUAACAAGGUAACCA
rnacentral:rRNA from 1 species